UUGAAGGAUUUGUAAAAAAUGUUUGAAGGAAUUGACUUAACGUUAAACACUAAGUCAAUUUCCUCAAACAUUUCUUACAAAUCCUUCAA
rnacentral:miRNA from 1 species